UACGGGAGGCAGGAGUGGGGAAUAUUGCACAAUGGGCGAAAGCCUGAUGCAGCUAUGCCGCGUGUAUGAAGAAGGCCUUAGGGUUGUAAAGUACUUUCAUCGGGGAGGAAAAAACAAAACUAAUAAUUUUAUUUCUUGACGUUACCCGAAAAAGAAGCACCGGCUAACUCCGUGCCAGCAGCCGCGGUAAUACGGAGGGUGCUAGCGUUAAUCAGAAUUACUGGGCGUAAAGAGCACGUAGGUGGUUUUUUUAAGUCAGAUGUGAAAUCCCUGGGCUUAACCUAGGAACUGCAUUUUGAAACUGAAAUACUAGAGUAUCGUAGAGGGAGGUAGAAUUCUAGGUGUAGCGGUGAAAUGCGUAGAUAUCUGGAGGAAUACCUGUGGCGAAAGCGGCCUCCUAAACGAAUACUGACACUGAGGGUGCGAAAGCGUGGGGAGCAAACAGGGAUUAGAUACC
rnacentral:rRNA from 1 species